GCCACGGUAGCUCAGCCUGGCUAGAGCAGCUGCCUUGUAAGCAGCAGGUCGUGAGUCCAAAUCUCACCCGUGGCU
rnacentral:tRNA from 1 species